GACGAACGCUGGCGGCGUGCUUAACACAUGCAAGUCGUACGGUAAGGCCCUUUCGGGGGUACACGAGUGGCGAACGGGUGAGUAACACGUGAGUAACCUGCCCACAACUUUGGGAUAACGCUAGGAAACUGGUGCUAAUACUGGAUAUGUGCUCCUGCUGCAUGGUGGGGGUUGGAAAGCUCCGGCGGUUGUGGAUGGACUCGCGGCCUAUCAGCUUGUUGGUGGGGUAGUGGCCUACCAAGGCGGCGACGGGUAGCCGGCCUGAGAGGGUGACCGGCCACAUUGGGACUGAGAUACGGCCCAGACUCCUACGGGAGGCAGCAGUGGGGAAUAUUGCACAAUGGGCGCAAGCCUGAUGCAGCAACGCCGCGUGCGGGAUGACGGCCUUCGGGUUGUAAACCGCUUUCAGCAGGGACGAAGCUUUUUGUGACGGUACCUGCAGAAGAAGCACCGGCUAACUACGAG
rnacentral:rRNA from 1 species